CGGGAGGCCGAUUGCAAGUGACUACAAGCAAUCGAAACGCGUAUUGAGGUGGGUUGGUUUACCGAAGCGACUAGGUCGCCCGUAUGUCUAAGUUCGUUGCUUAUCAUUGAUGCAUGUUACUAAAUAACAUAAAUGUUGCUAAGUAGAAAGCAUGAUGCAUGAUAAACAUGACAUAUGAGUUAAAUACUAGAGAAGAAUGCAUGAGAUAAAAUGCUAAGUAGAGAGCAUGUAAAAAGUAAAGUGUAUGCAUGAUGAUCAUGACAUAAAGAUGCUAAGUAAAUGCAUGAACGUAUGAGUAAUAUGUUGGUAAGUAACAUAAAUGUGCAUGAAAAACUAGGUGGAUAAGUACCCUAGAAUGAUUACGGCAAAUGAUGCCAAGCUAAGAAUGCUAAUUAUAAGUAAUAAGCAUAAUAUGGAAAUACUAAUGCAAGUACAUGGUAAGAAUGCUAAGAAAAGGACAAGUAUAGGUGGACAUGAAUCAACCUAUAGAUCGAGUGGCAUAAAUCCUAGUGUCAAGAACAUAGGUUAAAUAAGAAUGAUGCUAAACCUAAUGUAAAGAACAUAGGUUGUGAUAUAAAGGUGCUUAACCUAGAGUCAAGUGAACCUAGGUUGGAAAGAAUAAUAAUCCUAGUAUAAUAAACCUAGGUUAAGAAUGUGAAAGCAAUAAACCUAAUGGGCUAAUUUAGGUUGAGUAAAGGCUUAGACCUAGAGAGGUCAGUUCCAUAGGGUUAAGACCAACCCUUGGUUAAUGUGAUAUGGAUUCCGGAAUCCCAAAGCUUGCUGAUACACCCAAAGUGGUGUGGGGUGUGUGCGACGAUUUCGCCGCCCAGGGGCUAGAAAACCAUUGUCGUGGCGUGUGUGCGACGAUUUCGCCGCCGGAUGGUUAGCCAGUUUGUGGAUCCUACCGCCUGUUGACUGAACCACUGUCGUGGCGUGUGUGCAACGAUUUCGCCGCCGGGUGGCUAAGUCAUUGAACCUAGGCCGUUGUUGGGUGAGGUGCGAUUCGUUCGCCGCCAGACGGCUAGGACAGGAGUACGGUGAGCUGUUGCCAGCUGAGGUGCAUGUGAGAGUUCCUUCACCUCGAGCUAGACAGUGCGCGGACUAUCCGCGAUUGAUUCACUCAAGACCGAGUCGGGUGGCUUUGUUGACUAAGGUAAAGUGACCUUAGAGUAUAAUGCCAAAGGCUAAGAUAUAGCAUGGUUCAAGAAUGUUA
rnacentral:lncRNA from 1 species